UUUGGUGACGCUAGCUGACCGACUCUUCGUAUCUAUUACGUAUUUUUAACGUUAUUAAAAUUAAGUUAUAAAUAAUUAUUAAAACGUUACACUUUUGUGUAAAAACUUUUUACCGUGUUACUAACUAUUUAGAAUACAAACUAUAAGAUGUCACGUUACCGCGAAUGGGAUUUAUCCUGCAAAGUGUACGUGGGGAAUCUUGGCACAAAUGCAUCAAAAUACGAAAUUGAAAAAAUAUUUUCCAAAUAUGGAAACAUACGGAAUGUGUGGGUGGCCAGAAAUCCACCAGGGUUUGCAUUUGUUGAAUUCGAGGAUCCUCGAGAUGCAGAAGAUUCAGUUCGAGGUCUAGAUGGAACACGCUGCUGCGGGACUCGCAUCCGUGUUGAGAUGUCCAAUGGCCGCACAAGAAGGGACCGCAGGUCCAUUUUAUCAACCAACCACCAACACACCAACGACCUCACCACAUCUCUUCACCACAACUACGGCUUGUAUACAAAUAAGACAUCCGCGAACGCCGCUCGCAUCAACAUCCCGCUCGACUUCUGCGACCGGCUCUCCAACCAUCUGCGCGCAGCUGAAGUCUCCAACAACUGCCUCCCCAUAUCUAUCCUCUCGACCGCCAUCACCUGAUCCUACACAUUCCGCAACCUGAACAAUAACCACCACUGAUGAGCCACAUAGCAUAGGAACCUACAACAAUCCUGAAUGUCAUUGCAACUCCUGAUGCUUCACUGCAAUCUGCUGCACACACGCGUCGUCACCGAGGCACCGGCUAGAAAUACCACCUAUAUGGCGAUCAGCUAUCUCCGUUUCAACAAUUUGUUGUCAAAACUUCUUAUGGUCACCAUUUAGAAGAUUAUGUUGAAACUAGUCACCGCCUCGGUAUUCAAACUCCCUUCGGCCUCACAGCAGCGCCACACCGUCCGGCGGCCCUCGCAGGCUCAUCAAGUCUCGGUCCAGAAGCCGCAGCCCAAGGCGGCGUUCGUAUUCCCGCGGGCGCUCUUUGUCUCCGCGGCGCUCGCCCUCCGUGCG